AUUGAACGCUGGCGGCAGGCUUAACACAUGCAAGUCGAGCGGGGUGAUGGUGCUUGCACUAUCACUUAGCGGCGGACGGGUGAGUAAUGCUUAGGAAUCUGCCUAUUAGUGGGGGACAACAUCUCGACAGGGAUGCUAAUACCGCAUACGUCCUACGAGAGAAAGCAGGGGAUCACUUGUCACCUUGCUCUAAUAGAUGAGCCUAAGUCGGAUUAGCUAGUUGGUGGGGUAAAGGCCUACCAAGGCGACGAUCUGUAGCGGGUCUGAGAGGAUGAUCCGCCACACUGGGACUGAGAAACGGCCCCGACUCCUACGGGAGGCAGCAGUGGGGAAUAUUGGACAAUGGGGGGAACCCUGAUCCAGCCAUGCCGCGUGUGUGAAGAAGGCCUUAUGGUUGUAAAGCACUUUAAGCGAGGAGGAGGCUCUUUUGGUUAGUACCCAGAAUGAGUGGACGUUACUCGCAGAAUAAGCACCGGCUAACUCUGUGCCAGCAGCCGCCGUAA
rnacentral:rRNA from 1 species